AGCCAACUUGUGGUGUGAAAUGUAUGUCUGAGGAAGAAGCUAUUAGAGUCGGUGGUACUAAUCAUAGCCACGCGACCAAGGAUCUUUACGAUUCAAUUGCAGCUGGAAACUAUCCUGAGUGGAAACUUUUCAUCCAAACAAUGGACCCUGAGGAUGUAGACAAGUUCGAUUUUGAUCCUCUGGAUGUAACCAAGACAUGGCCUGAGGAUCUCUUGCCGUUGAUCCCAGUUGGUCGAUUGGUAUUGAACAGGAACAUUGAUAACUUCUUUGCUGAGAAUGAGCAGCUCGCGUUUAACCCUGGACAUAUCGUCCCUGGUAUUUACUAUUCCGAGGAUAAGCUUCUCCAGACUAGGAUAUUCGCGUAUGCUGAUACUCAGAGACACCGUAUUGGACCAAACUAUAUGCAGCUCCCAGUUAAUGCUCCCAAGUGUGGUCAUCACAACAAUCAUCGCGAUGGUGCCAUGAACAUGACACAUCGCGAUGAAGAGGUACUAUGCACUCGACAAUUGGUGCUCCUUAUGUUGUUGCCUUUGUUCAAACAUUUCAUUCUUCUGAUGUAUAACUAAAUGUUUCAGGUGGAUUAUUUGCCCUCGAGGUUUGAUCCUUGUCGUCCUGCUGAGCAGUACCCAAUUCCUG
rnacentral:lncRNA from 1 species